GAUGAACGCUGGCGGCGUGCCUAAUACAUGCAAGUCGAGCGAACAUACGAGGAGCUUGCUCCUCUGACGUUAGCGGCGGACGGUUGAGUAACACGUGGAUAACCGACCUAUAAGACUGGGAUAACUUCGGGAAACCGGAGCUAAUACCGGAUAAUAUAGUGAACCGCAUUGUUCAAUAGUGAAAGACGGUUUUGCUGGCACUUAUAGAUGGAUCCGCGCCGCAUUAGCUAGUUGGUAAGGUAACGGCUUACCAAGGGAACGAUGCGUAGCCGACCUGAGAGGGUGAUCGGCCACACUGGAACUGAGACGCGGUACAGACUCCUACGGGAGGCAGCAGUAGGGAAUCUUCCGAAAUGGGCGAAAGCUUGACGGAGAAACGCCGCGUGAGUGAUGAAGGUCUUCAGAUCGUAAAACUCUGUUAUUAGAGAAGAACAAAUGUGUAAGUAACUAUGCCCGUCUUGACGGUACAUCAGCAGAAAGACACGGAUAAAUACG
rnacentral:rRNA from 1 species